rnacentral:rRNA from 1 species
AGCAGCCGCGGUAAUUCCAGCUCCAAUAGCGUAUAUUAAAGUUGUUGCAGUUAAAAAGCUCGUAGUUGAAUUUCGGGAUCAAUAUAUCGGUCGUGCCUUGGUACGUACUGGUAUCAUUGGUUUCUCCUUUCUGACGAACCAUGAUGUCAUUAAUUUGGUGUUAUGGGAAGUUAGGACUGUUACUUUGAAAAAAUUAGAGUGUUUAAAGCAGGCUUUAGCUUGAAUACAUUAGCAUGGAAUAAUGAAAUAGGACGUUCGAACCUAUUUUGUUGGUUUCUAGGAUCAGCGUAAUGAUUAAUAGGGAUAGUUGGGGGCAUUAGUAUUCAAUUGUCAGAGGUGAAAUUCUUGGAUUUAUUGAAGACUAACUACUGCGAAAGCAUUUGCCAAGGAUGUUUUCAUUAAUCAAGAACGAAAGUUAGGGGAUCGAAGACGAUCAGAUACCGUCGUAGU